rnacentral:sRNA from 1 species
AAGAAUGUCCCAAGAUAUUUUUCCGGGAAAAAGGGAUCGGGGAGACCACUCUUGGAGCCUUGUCUAGGCCUGACAUGCUAAAAACGGCCUUGGUGCAGGGGAAUAAGGCACAAAUAUCAAUGAUGAUGAAGUCAAGUGAAACGAAGGAUCCUGGUCCACACAACAGAUAACCCAACUGGGAUGUCAGGCAGGGUCAAAAAACCCUUCCUUAUCCUGAAACCAUCUAUCCUUAGGCGAUCGUCUGCUUCAGAAACCGCUCUUGAAACACCUGGUUCUUCUCCCCUGAUUCCUCACUGACACCUCCUCGCUCAUUCCACCGAUCUCUCCUCGCCAGUAAUUGACGACAGCGGUAAAGUCGAGACAUGCGGCUUCAACAGUCAUAAUGCUGUUUCAAUUCAUCCUCCAUAAAAUCUACACUUCUCGAUCUGACUUUGAAACGAAGAAGCCAGUGAGCUGAAUAAGUGCGCGUCAGCGUCACCAGUUUCACAGCGGGGCUUUCAAAUAGGCAAGGAUGUCAAGCUACAAUCACCGUAUGUCACCGUACACUGCUGGUAAAUGGCCCUCCUGAUUUUAGUUGUUACCACACGCGGUUGGGGGUAAGAUCUUUGUCAUUGUAGACAUUUAUCAAACUUUACACUCUGAGUAGCAGAGGUGUGGUGCACAUGGUUUCUUGGGUCUUCUGGCAACAGAAAAACGGACAAUUGUGAAACAUGUUUCAAGCAAAGAGCAAUAUGCGGUGUCAGGAAUCACACCAUGUAGAAGUGUUAUAAGGAGAAUCCUCUGAAGAAUGAUCUUCCAACCCUUUUUGUACACUCCAGUUCACGAUUCCC